CAGCCCUCCGCGGCAGCCCCGCCGGCUCCCCGGCCUCCCCCUCUUCCUGCGCUACACCCCCGGGGAGGAGCCUCCCGCCCCCGCCGCCGACACCGCGGCUCGGCCACACGGCCCCGCAGAUUUACUCAUUUUACCAUUUAUUUUAACAUGUCCCAAGAGUUACUGUUCAAACAACGCAGCUCCAAAUGUUCUCAACCUGCAGUGACACAGAAGCCAUGAUCGUGCUUUACCUCCCUGACGCCUUGUUCCUUGCAGUGUCACAGGGAACACAACCAUGCUCCCGUGAGAAUAAAAAGCUCAUCGCAGUUGGCCACCAAGCAUGAGUAAAUAGCACCCGAGCAGCUGGCGGGGAGCAGCCUGGUGGGAGUCUGGAGGCUGGCUGGGUUUCCCCCUUCUCUUCCUCGUAACGCGGUACUGGCACACCAAAUUGCAUAACUUUGUCAUUUUCUUCAAUUCCCUUUCAAGAAGUCAUUCUGAAUCAGACUACAGACGUGAGGUCUGCUCGCUUGGUGUUUCCCAAAUGAAGAAGCAUGAAAACGUUUAACUCCAGACAGCACAUUUCCUAGAUUAAAACGUGGAGAGGACAAAGUCCUAGCAUUAAGUGUUUAAGUCACUAGGGUGCAGGAAUCAAGCUUCACUUAGGAAGUCCAGCUGAAGACCUGAUUUUCAAAAGCAGGGCAGCCAGAGGGGCUUUUACAGUCCCAAUAACUGCAAUGUUGGACCAACAGCUGGGGGUACCUACCUUCAUCUUCUCCAUUUAUCUUCCAUUAAUUGUGUGAAGAUGAGAAGAAGCAGAGACAUUCCAAAGUUGCCUUGGCCAGUACCAGUGGUAUGGAGAUGUGAGAGAACAAACCCUCAAAGCCAAUAUUACUUUUCCAAACCAAGACUUCUUUUCUUUCACACAGCAUGCUAUGUCCUUAAAAAAUGGUUAAAAAAUGAACAUGUUUAUUUAUGAUGAGUACUAGAAUACUUUUUACAGCACUAGUUCUUCUUUGUCAAGGUAGUGAAGUAGAAAACUAAACAAAGCUGCCAUGCUGGAGACUGGGCAGGCACUGGGGGAGGGCUCUUCAUAUCACCCUGUGGGUGGUGGAGAAGAAAGUGAGAAAUUUGUUCAAUUGAAAAAAGCCAUCAAGAUAUGUUGGAAACACAAAUUCAGAAAAUUCUGUUGGAAGUGGAAGAAACUGUGAGCUUUUGGCCAGGGCUAGUGAUUCUAGUAACAUGGAUAUCAUCUAGAAAAUAUUUUUUGAGACUUUUUUGUGCUUGAUAAAAACACUGUGCUUUACAGAGUUGUCAUUAAAAUUCUCUCAUCCAUGAUAUCUACCUAGCUAAAUUAGUUUAGACUUAACUAAGUCUAGUAUUAGUUUAGACUUAAGUUUAGUCUUUAAGGACUAGCUGAUACGAAAAUACAAGGUGGUGAACGAGGCAAAUUACAGGUUUGUUUUGUGUAGAAGCCCUUUUCCUCUGCAAAAGCAAUUCCACUCAGAAAACCUGUUUGUUAAUGUAGUCAUAAAAAUGCUGGUUAUGUUUUUAGCAGGGUCACUAGUCAACUUCCAUGUCUCUGUUCAUGCCUAUUCAUCAGUGCAUACUGCCAUCACAACUGCUAAUUAUAAAGCCCGAGUCCUGUCCUUAAGCUGUUGAGAUCUGGGGGUUUAGCUUUGGAAGCUGUUGUUCAUUGCUCAGAGUUGGUCCAGACAACAGCUGUCGCACUUGGAGAGAACCGGGAGUAACAGGAGACAGCUCCCCUUCCACCAGAAAGGCACAUUACCGCCACUGAAAGCCCUAAUCUGAUGGGUUCAGGCGAACUCUGCACAAACAUAUGCACCCAAGAUGUCUCUGUGGCCUGUUUAUCUAGGGAUUGUAGAGUUUGUAAAAGAGCCCGUAUUUAUAAACCUGGCUUUCUGUUGAAAAAAAUCGCCCCAAAGCAUUCCUAAGUAUAGUGACUAUAAUUCUGCCUCAUUUUCAUUAGAUUACGUCAAUUAAGAAACCAGGCUUUGUCUGUCCUUUCAGAUUGUUUCUACUGUAUUUUUAAAAUGUUCAUAAAUCUCAUGUGCUUCUAUAAUUAACCUAUCUAAAGCAAAGAAACAACAACAACAUCAAAAAAAACAAAAAAAAAAAAAACAAAAAAAAAGCAGAUUUGCUGCUCUCCAGAGCUCUGUCUACAUUCAUCAGGCUGAGGGUCAUGUCUGUUGGUCUAUGUUUUACUGUAAUUUCACUCAGAGUCUUUAGUCCGACUGUAAUUAUAGUAUUAAAUUAAAUAAUUGUAAUGCCACUUUGCAGUACACAUUUUUCCUUAAAUGUACAUAGAUGUUUAUAAUCAUGUACAAUUAUUGAGAACAAAGUUGAAAGCUGUUGGAAAUAAUUGUCAUUUCAUUUACUAAUUUAAUUGCAUGUAUAUUUAAUAAAAGUAUGUGUUAUAUUGCCCUCUC